CUCUGAGUUCAAUUUGUUAUUUCGUAAACAGCACCCGGAAAUGCGGGGCUCGGUCGCGUUGUUGCUGCUUGCCGGCCUAGCCCUUUGUGCAAAUGCGCAGAAUGCUAUACGGGGCCUGAACCCGGACCUAGCGGCCCACUACUCAGGGGCUGGGGGCAAGUUCACAUGCAUUUCCGGGGGCAAGACUAUUCCCUUCAAACAAGUCAAUGACGACUACUGCGAUUGCGCCGAUGGCAGCGACGAGCCUGGUAGGACGAAUUGAUUCCUUUGGACAGCGUGUGGAACCGAAAGAUGAAUCCCGAUUGCUCCAUUUACUCGACCUGCAGGCACUGCCGCGUGCCAUAAUGGACGGUUCUACUGCCGUAACCUGGGACACGAGCCCAAGCUGCUCGCGGCG
rnacentral:lncRNA from 1 species